rnacentral:rRNA from 1 species
UACGGGGGGGGCAAGCGUUGUUCGGAAUUACUGGGCGUAAAGGGCUCGUAGGUGGCCAACUAAGUCAGACGUGAAAUCCCUCGGCUUAACCGGGGAACUGCGUCUGAUACUGGAUGGCUUGAGUUUGGGAGAGGGACGCGGAAUUCCAGGUGUAGCGGUGAAAUGCGUAGAUAUCGUGAGGAAGACCAGUGGCGAAGGCGGAUCUCUGGACAGUUCCUGACGCUGAGGCGCGAAGGCCAGGGGAGCAAACGGG